rnacentral:lncRNA from 1 species
GCGCGAACGCUUUCAAUCGGUUGAAUUGUGUUUGCAGUUCGGAUUUGGAAUUCUCCGCGGCUUCGCGUGCCAGCCUUUCGCGAUCCAGCUCGGCGAGCAGCUCCCUAAAUCUUUCCGCCGACACUUCCUUUUCCCUAAUCACGAGGGGAACCGGUUCGUCAGCUUCCACGUUGCUGAGCACCGAAUCGGGAUCGUCAUCGCCAGCACUCGCCAUUUCGUUUUAUACCGCAGAAAAUAAAAUUCAAUUGUUAUUGACAAAAGAUCUCCGCAAUUAUCAAAAUGGUUGUUUGUAUUGGUCGAGGAAAAAAAGCACAAAA